GCUUCUUUCCAUGAUUUUACGUUUUCAGUUUAAAUUUAAAACAUAUUCGAGAUGGUACUAAAGCAUUACUAAUAAAGAGGUUAUUGGUUUUCGUUUGUAUAAGUCGCUAAGUUUCUUCCGUCCGGCCCGCUCGACUGGGCCGUGUUGAUCGUUCCCUGUCAACAGCCAACACUUCCCCUCCUACGCCAGAGAGCUUUUCCCCGCGGGCCGCGCAGGCAACUCCUCCUCCUCUCCCUCCGCCUCCCUUGCGUCGCUCGCCGGGCCCGAGGACGACGACGAGCCCUUCUAGGAGGAGGAGGAGGAGGGCACCGUCGAGCUCGUGCAGCUCGGCGCCAACCACGGCAAGAACGUCCUCAGCUUGCAAGGGUUGUGUUUGACUGGGUAGAGCAAGGACCACGCCGGCGGGCCGCUCAACAACAUGGGGGGCUCCUACAAGUUCAUGGUGAAGCACGUACAACUCUGGAAGGUGCCCUUCCACGGCACAUCGCCAAGAUGGUCUGAUUCCGAUUAUACAGCACUGCGAUACUACCUCUACUGAACACACGUGUAGCUACAAUUGAAGGAUCACAAAUAUAUGGUCCAGCAAUGCACGGUAAAUCUGUAUCCAGGCGGAUUCAGUCCAUCUCUUCACCAUCGUGAUCCACACCUACGACCUGGCUUGGUUGUGGUGCUAAUUCAGCAAUGCAAGUCCGAUCCCUUCAACUCUCAGGUGUCUUAUUCCACUACUUCAUGAUGAUGCGUGGGUGCGUACUUGGAUGGUUAUACUAUGUGAUUAAAUUGAUUUUUCAGGAUCCCCGACUCCCCAUGCAUACAUUGUUCACCAUACAAAGCUAAAAUACAACACUUUCAGAUGUCGUGCAGACUGUACAACACAAGCAUGGCAACAAGUGUAUUAAGAACAGAGAAAUCAUUGCAAAUUACCUGCUUGAUUUUUUUGGAUUCCAGCGUGACGGUGUGGCCGUCUGACUGGAAUUGAAAAUGCUGGUGUUGUUCUGAAUUCUGAUAAUGUUGAUUAGCAGGGAGAGGGUUCAGAGUAGGGAUGGCGGGGGCGUUUGAGUUGUACUGGCAGUCCGCCAUCGGCAGGGCCGUCAUGGAGACGCUGGACGAGAUGGUUCUUAGCCCCGAUCAUGCCAUCAGCGUCCAAGUAUAGUUCGAUGAGGUCUGACUGGCGUUUUGCUUGUCUGCGAAUCAAUCGGCAGGGCCUAUAAUAUCAGCAAAUUGUGUGUCGUUGGUUGUUUAUCCAUCCUGGUCUUCUUGUUGCUUUCAGUUCAUGAGCACUGGACAACCAGCUCAAGAGCAAGGCAUUCUUCAAGGUACUAUGUUGAUUCUUUAGAGAUCUCGUCUUCAUGAGACUAGCGAAGGGGGUAUACCUUAGGAAGAAAGGGAGAUGAGGAAUUAACCAGAUAGUAUAUGGGCUGAAUAAUUUUGAACUAGCUACUAUUUCUAAAUGGAGUGCCAUGUUCAAAUAUAGGAAGUGAAGUUGUGGUGGGUUCUGAGCCAUGCUUCAGGAUAGGGGUGUACCGUAUUAUUUUUCUCCCGUUGCAACGCACGGGCUUUUUUGC